rnacentral:rRNA from 1 species
GAUGGACGCUGGCGGCGUGCCUAAUACAUGCAAGUCGAGCGAACAGACGAGGAGCUUGCUCCUCUGACGUUAGCGGCGGACGGGUGAGUAACACGUGGAUAACCUACCUAUAAGACUGGGAUAACUUCGGGAAACCGGAGCUAAUACCGGAUAAUAUAUUGAACCGCAUGGUUCAAUAGUGAAAGACGGUUUUGCUGUCACUUAUAGAUGGAUCCGCGCCGCAUUAGCUAGUUGGUAAGGUAACGGCUUACCAAGGCAACGAUGCGUAGCCGACCUGAGAGGGUGAUCGGCCACACUGGAACUGAGACACGGUCCAGACUCCUACGGGAGGCAGCAGUAGGGAAUCUUCCGCAAUGGGCGAAAGCUUGACGGAGCAACGCCGCGUGAGUGAUGAAGGUCUUCGGAUCGUAAAACUCUGUUAUUAGGGAAGAACAAAUGCGUAAGUAACUAUGCACGUCUUGACGGUACCUAAUCAGAAAGCCACGGCGAACUACGU